rnacentral:rRNA from 1 species
ACGAACGCUGGCGGCGUGCUUAACACAUGCAAGUCGAACGGAAAGGCCCUGCUUUUGUGGGGUGCUCGAGUGGCGAACGGGUGAGUAACACGUGAGUAACCUGCCCUUGACUUUGGGAUAACUUCAGGAAACUGGGGCUAAUACCGGAUAGGAGCUCCUGCUGCAUGGUGGGGGUUGGAAAGUUUCGGCGGUUGGGGAUGGACUCGCGGCUUAUCAGCUUGUUGGUGGGGUAGUGGCUUACCAAGGCUUUGACGGGUAGCCGGCCUGAGAGGGUGACCGGCCACAUUGGGACUGAGAUACGGCCCAGACUCCUACGGGAGGCAGCAGUGGGGAAUAUUGCACAAUGGGCGGAAGCCUGAAGCAGCAACGCCGCGUGCGGGAUGACGGCCUUCGGGUUGUAAACCGCUUUCGCCUGUGACGAAGCGUGAGUGACGGUAAUGGGUAAAGAAGCACCGGCUAACUACGUG